rnacentral:rRNA from 1 species
GACGAACGCUGGCGGCGUGCUUAACACAUGCAAGUCGAACGGAAAGGCCCCUUUGGGGGUACUCGAGUGGCGAACGGGUGCGUAACACGUGAGUAACCUGCCCUUGACUUCGGGAUAACUUCAGGAAACUGGGGCUAAUACCGGAUAGGAAUCCUUGCUGCAUGGUGGGGGUUGGAAAGCUUCGGCGGUUUUGGAUGGACUCGCGGCUUAUCAGCUUGUUGGUGGGGUAGUGGCUUACCAAGGCUUUGACGGGUAGCCGGCCUGAGAGGGCGGCCGGCCACAUUGGGACUGAGAUACGGCCCAGACUCCUACGGGAGGCAGCAGUGGGGAAGAUUGCACAAGGGGCGGAAGCCUGAUGCAGCAACGCCGCGUGCGGGAUGACGGCCUUCGGGUUGUAAACCGCUUUCAGCAGGGGCGAAGCUUGUGGUGACGGUACCUGCAGAAGAAGCACCGGCUAACUACGUG